GCCGCCGCCGCCGCUGUCGUGUGCCUCCGAUAUCUGUCGACUUGAUCCUGACGUCUGCCGGCACCCACCAGAUGCAGAUGCAGUGACAACAACGGAUGAGCGACUAGCAAGUAGUACAACAUCUCUUUCAACCAGCAACACGAGGGCAUCAAAAGUUUGAGCAAUAUGGAUCCAAUCAACAACGUUCAAAUGCAUAUGAGCCAUGGGGGAUUUAAUACACCCAAAAAGAAUACAAACAUGGCAGACAUAC